GCAGGACCUCGCAGUGACGAGAUGAAACCCCUUUGUGCUUGAAUAGUGAGGGUGGUCUGGAGGUGCCGUCGUCGAGGGUGGUCUGGGAGCAGGUGAGGACGGAGUAGCUGGCCAUGAAGCCAAGGAUUCGGUCCAGCAUCAUGGAGCAUUUGGGUUUUGGGUGGGCAAGUGAAGGCCGAUUUCCGAAGGAGAGACCUCUGCCCCAGCACAGGCCUCGGCGAUGAACUCCGGAAGGUCGAGGUCGAUGGCGGAUUUCAGCACCAUGGGCAGCAACGAGAAGGUGGCCUAUUGCAUCGCAUACAAACAUGCUUCCUACCCCUGUUGCUUUUCCAGGCUGGGCGGCCUCGUCUCCACCUACUCCUCUACUGACCCCAUGAUGUUGCUGUGCUGGCUUUUUUGCUACUUGACCAAUUGGAAAUCGAAAAAGUGUUACCCAUAUAACCUGGACUUUGAUUCUGGGGCUCUGGCACAGCUGCAACAUUUCUCCAUCAAUAACCUGGGGGAUUCCUUCAUUGAGAGCAACUACGGGGUCCAUUCCAGACAAUUUGAGGUUGGUGUUCUAGAUUGGUUUGCCGUCUGUGGGAACUAGAGGAAAGCGAAUACUGGGGAUAUACAUUACAAAUUGUGGGAAAUCGAAAAACUGAAAGCACACCUCCACAUGUUCUACAGUAGAAUGGCUUCUUAUUUUUCUAAGAUUACCACUAUAUUUCUUUCCCUUCCUCUCUGCUGUGAAUCCUGUGUAGUUCUUAUAGGUUAAAGAAAAGACAUCAUUUGACCAUGAUAUAGGUGCAGAGUAUGAUUUCCCAUUUCGUGGUGAUUUGGUCGGUGGAGUUUAUAUGGUUUGGCAUGUAUUUGUCGUUGUUAGUCCUAAUGCCCCUUUUUGA